UACGGAGGGUGCAAGCAUUAAUCGGAUUUAUUGGGCGUAAAGGGCGCGUAGGCGGAAAGAAAAGUCAGAUGUGAAAUCCCGGGGCUUAACCUCGGACCCGCAUUUGAAACUCUCUUUCUCGAGGGUAGAUGGCGAAAACGGAAUUCCACGUGUAGCGGUGAAAUGCGUAGAUAUGUGGAAGAACAUCUGUGGCGAAGGCGGUUUUCGAAUUUAUUCCUGACGCUGAUGCGCGAAAGUAAGGGGAUCAAACAGG
rnacentral:rRNA from 1 species